AAAGUACUCCCUCCGUCCCAAAAUUCUUGUCUUAGAUUUGUCUAGAUACGGAUGUAUCAAGUCACAUUUUUGUAUUAGAUACAUCUGUAUCUAGACAAAUCUAAGAUAAGAAAUUUGGGACAGAGGGAGUAGUUG
rfam:Triticum aestivum genome assembly, contig: Triticum_aestivum_CS42_TGACv1_scaffold_425545_5BS